GCCAGGUGUGGUGGCGGAUGCCUGUAAUCCCAGCUACUCUGAGGCUGAGGCAGAAGAAUCACUUGAACCCAGGAGACAGAGGUUGCAGUGAGCCAAGAUUGCACCACUGAACUCUAGCCUGGGUGACAGAGUGAGACUCUGUCUCAA
ensembl:misc_RNA Metazoa_SRP Metazoan signal recognition particle RNA